rnacentral:rRNA from 1 species
UACAGGGGGUGCAAACGUUGCUCGGAAUUAUUGGGCGUAAAGCGCGCGCAGGCGGUUUCUUAAGUCUGAUGUGAAAGCCCACGGCUCAACCGUGGAGGGUCAUUGGAAACUGGGGAACUUGAGUGCAGAAGAGAAAAGCGGAAUUCCACGUGUAGCGGUGAAAUGCGUAGAGAUGUGGAGGAACACCAGUGGCGAAGGCGGCUUUUUGGUCUGUAACUGACGCUGAGGCGCGAAAGCGUGGGGAGCAAACAGG